GUGAUGGUUGUUAGAUACUACUCCACUCCAACAAUCACUGAAUGGUCGUUGAACUUGGUCUUUUGCAACUACUCACAACUUUGUCGCUAAAGUAGUUGGGGCAAUAAUAUCCCACUCAUAAAGAUCCAACUAGGCACUAUUUAUUUGAUGACGGAAUCUGAAAUUUUAUGGGGAUAUGGAAGUUAAAUUAUCUGUCUACACUUCACACUUCUGCUGGUCAGUUGGUCACGUUGAAUUAUUUAGGAGGAUGCAUUCAACAACAAAAUGAUGGAAUAACCAACUUGUUGAGUAGCGAUAUAAAGAGAUGGUAGACUUGCAAAAAUCACAAGCAGAACUAGAAGAUGAAGCAUCUGUCAUGGACGAAACAGAAAUAUGGGCUCAAGUUCUUGGUAAGUGCAGGGACUAUUUCUAGAAUUGGACUUGCUCCGUGCAAAUCAUACAAUAACAUAAUCACAACUCCUCCUAAAUUUAUGCAAUAGCUCGAAAUUCUUAGAUAACAGGAUAAUGAGAAGGAUAACACUAGCUAAUACAACUUCUCGAACAAUAGGCAUUACUUAUCCAGAGCCUUAUUACACAAAUGGAUAUAAGUUAGCAUACUCCUAUAGGAUUGACCAAUGAUCCCCUUCCACCGCCAGCAUCAAUUGGUGCUACGGUACUAUGAUUAUAUUAUUCAAAUUACAUAGAAAAUAUGAAAAUAUAUCUUUUGUGUUAUAAAUUAAAUAUUUAGGGUUAGGUAUUGACUAUUAGUUACAUGUUAUAUGCAGCAAAUUUGACUUUUAUAGAGAAAUGUUUCUUCUUAUUUUUCA